rnacentral:misc_RNA from 1 species
GAUUUUCGUACUUUUUAGUUUCUAGAGUGUUCUUUAUUUUCUCCUUGAUCUAUUCCUCCCUUAGUGGAAACACCGUUAGGGUUUUUCCAAAUCCAGAUCUCUGAUACAGUUUCGAAUAUUAUCUUCUUCGCAUAGUCCACAACGGGUUAUGGAAGAAACUAGAAGGAAGAUCUGGGCGCAAUAUGCGUUCCUGUUAUUGGCUUGUUGCUUUUUCUCUCAACUCUACGCUACUUCAGAUGUGAAGUUCUACGAGUCAUUUGACGAAGCAUUUGAUGGGCGAUGGAUCGUAUCUGAGAAAGAGGACUAUUCAGGUGUGUGGAAACAUGCCAAGAGUGAGGGACAUGAUGAUUAUGGACUUCUUGUUAGUGAGAAGGCUAG